AUUCAUGCAUCCACCACAGAAAUGCCUGAGAUAUACCAGGUCAGAGGAACCUUCCAGCAAGCCUCUUAUCUGCUUUCCUAAGGAGCCAGUGUGUUGUAAUGCUGGGUCCCCUCAGGCUACACCCACACAAGGGUACGUCCACCUACACGUGAAAGAGCGUGAGCCCGAGAAUGAGGACCAACCUCUCCUCAAAUGAGAAGUCACUCC